AAAAUGAAGGGUUUGAUGAGCGAUUCUCAGCUCAAUGCCCCAAAAACUCACCUUGCAGCCUAGAAAUCCAGUCCUCUGAACUAGGAGACUCGGCACUGUAUUUCUGCGCCAGCAGCCAAUCCACAGCGUUGAAAUGGUAGCUCCUCUUAGUGCACAAACUCAUCAUGGACCCAGCUCAGGAAGCAGGUGAUGUAUGAGGUAGGAAGGAAGUAACAGAAAUUAACUGGGGCUAGCUUCAGUCACAGUGGAACUUAGUACAAGGCUAAAGGGUAUUUAGCAGCAGUCAAGGAGUGAUGGACAGACAAUUCUGGCAAAAAACACCACUUAACCAGGGUCUGGAAUGACUGCCUCUCCAGUUCUCACGUUU